AGCAGCCGCGGUAAUUCCAGCUCCAAUAGCGUAUAUUAAAGUUGUUGCAGUUAAAAAGCUCGUAGUUGAAUUUCGGGAUCAAUCUGCCGGUCGUGCCUCCGGUAUGCACUGGUUUUAUUGGUUUCUCCCUUCUGACGAAUCAUGAUGUCAUUAAUUUGGUGUCAUGGGGAAUCAGGACUGUUACUUUGAAAAAAUUAGAGUGUUUAAAGCAGGCUCACGCUUGAAUACAUUAGCAUGGAAUAAUGAAAUAGGACGUUUGACCCUAUUUUGUUGGUUUCUAGGAUCGACGUAAUGAUUAAUAGGGAUAGUUGGGGGGCAUUAGUAUUCAAUUGUCAGAGGUGAAAUUCUUGGAUUUAUUGAAGACUAACUACUGCGAAAGCAUUUGCCAAGGAUGUUUUCAUUAAUCAAGAACGAAAGUUAGGGGAUCGAAGACGAUCAGAUACCGUCGUAGUCUUAACCAUGAACUAUGCCGACUAGGGAUCGGAUGAUGUUAUUUUUUAAUGACUCAUUCGGCACCCUA
rnacentral:rRNA from 1 species